CGGCGUUUGUCUAGGACAGAUUCCCUAAACCAGAGUAAGGAAUUGACGACCAACAGAAGCCAUGCAGUUCCAGUUGGCUGAGAAGGAAACAUGGGCUCAGUGGAUUGCAAAGCUAUCCUCUGAAGUGGAAAUAAACGUCUAGAGAGAUCUACUCUGCGAACCAAAGGUGAAACCAGAGGACGUUUCUGUCCCCCACCCUGGUAGACUUCAACAUCUAAAAGCCGUUGGAACAGGAGGUGACGGGUAGUGAGACAGAUGGGAGUCCUCCAGUUUUCUCUAGAGAAAGUUCUGCUAUGUACUCCAGCACCAUGCCUCUCAAAAACGCUUCACAAUCUACUAAGAAAGAUUUCUUAUUUCAACUGAAUGAAAACGCUCAGCCUUAA